rnacentral:rRNA from 1 species
AUUGAACGCUGGCGGCAGGCCUAACACAUGCGAGUCGAGCGGAUGAAGGGAGCUUGCUCCUGGAUUCAGCGGCGGACGGGUGAGUAAUGCCUAGGAAUCUGCCUGGUAGUGGGGGAUAACGUCCGGAAACGGGCGCUAAUACCGCAUACGUCCUGAGGGAGAAAGUGGGGGAUCUUCGGACCUCACGCUAUCAGAUGAGCCUAGGUCGGAUUAGCUAGUUGGUGGGGUAAAGGCCUACCAAGGCGACGAUCCGUAACUGGUCUGAGAGGACGAUCAGUCACACUGGAACUAAGACACGGUCCAGACUCCUAAGGGAGGCAGCAGUGGGGAAUAUUGGACAAUGGGCGAAAGCCUGAUCCAGCCAUGCCCGUGUGUGAAGAAGGUCUUCGGAUUGUAAAGCACUUUAAGUUGGGAGGAAGGGCAGUAAGUUAAUACCUUGCUGUUUUGACGUUACCAACAGAAUAAGCACCGGCUAACUUCGUG